UUCUAAUUGCUGACGUGGCGCGCUGGUAUUGACUAAUUGAUGGUCGUUCGGCCCGUACGAAUUUCCAAUUGAUGGUCGUUCAUUCCUACACGUUAAUUCUUUUGUUUGCUCAGACAUUUAGCAAUCCUUUUGUUUCUUUGUUUGUUGUUUGUCGGGACUUGAUAAUUUGACAGCCUUUUGGGGAUAAUUAAACCACUUCCUCUCUCCAUAACAGUUUUUUUUUAUGGGAUUUGACAGGGAGUUGGGCUCGAUGCAACAAAAGUCUCCUCUUUCCCUAUUUGUUCAUCGACCGUCACUCUCUAAACCUCUUAGAGCAACUUUUUCUCUUCUUCUUCAUCUUCCACCUGAGAACAACAAUGACCAAGAUGGUUUUCUUCAUCUUCCAAUUACUGGGAGUUUUGUUGGCUUGAAAAAAAUAAGAAACGGUUUUUUUCUCUUUCAUUUUUUCCAUCAUCGUCUCUCUUUACCUUAUCUUCCUCUUCAUCAAUUAUCCCCCCAUUUCUCUCAUCUUCUUCAUCUUUUUCUUUUCUUUUCGAUUUUAACUGAGAACAACUACAACAAGGAGGAUGGUUGGGAUUUUUUUUGGGUGCAAAAAAUUGGAAAUGUCUUUCAGCCUCCAGCAUCUCAAUGAGAGUAAGCAACUGGUAGUGGAAUCCUCUGGAAUGUAUAUGUUGGAAAAGCUUUCAGGUUAGAUUUUGAGAUCUAAAUAAGCCUUUACCGUCAAGAUUUUGCAUAAAUCCUAAGGGUAUAGAUGGAGAAUUAAGAGGCGAAUUUGACAGAAAAUUUGCAGGCUUGGAGUGAAUGGUUCCAAUAGAGCAAAACGAAAGCUUUCCAAAUAUCAUAUGCAAGGGUACAUAAUCUGGAAAUUUCCUCCACCAUCUUCAUGCGGUUUUCUAAGCCUUGUUUUUCCCUUUCGAAGGGCCAGAUUUUUUUUCUUCUGAUAGAGUUGUUGGACGAUAGGCUCAAGGCAGAAAAGUGGCUGAAACAGCGAGAAAGGGAAGUUCAAUAUUUUGUCCCGACUAUCUAUGCGAAUUUGUAGAAUACAGAUAUGCAGGGAGGAAAAAUGACCACCCGUGAAAGGCAACUGCUGUGGGAAAAAUGUGUUUUGUUGAUCUCCUGCUCAAAAAAAGCAAUCCAUAUGGGAAUCAGGAACUUCCCUGUCAAGUUAAUCAUUGAUCAAAAUUUUGAGUUACACUAGCAGUACCUAUUAUCUUUUGCUUGAAGAUGAUUAAUGCAAAAGAUAUUAAAGCCAAAUUUGUAAUCGAGGCAGCUAAUCAUCCUACUAAUCCAGAGGCAGAUGAGAUAUUAACAAAGAAGGGAGUUGUUAUACUCCCAGACAUAUAGGCAAAUUCCGGAGGUCUUACAGUCAAUUACUUCAAGUGGGUUCAGUUAUGUGAUAGAAGAAGAAUGAACAACAACUAUUGAUCUGAUUGAUAUUUGGAUAGCUGGAACUUGGAAGCUAAUGGAAGCUUAUGGAGUUUUGUCAUGAAUGCUUGAUACUUUGUUUUGUCCUUUCCAAUAUCUUUACCAGAAGUCAUUAGUUACUUCAACAGCCACUUGCUAUAGUAGAGAUAUCAAACUUUGUGAUGCUUUUUUUUUUUUUUUUGAAAUUUUGACCACUAAUACAUAGUUUCACUAUAAUUGGCUGAUUGAACGCGACGGAAGAUAAGAAAGACGAGAGGCAUUUCUAGAUAUGACAGUCAAUAUUUCUGGAUGAAUGUAUCUUAUAUCUUAAAUUGUAACUUUUCACAGGUAAUGAGAUGCAUCGUACAGUUGGUGAGCUUACCUCAAUUAUGUGUUAUUAUGCUCUUCAACUUUAUUAGUGUUAUUUCUUUUCUUAAUUGAAAUGUUGACAAAAUGCUUCAUUAUCUACCACAUACAGAAAAUGAUAAACAAAAAAAAAAAAAAA